UGGGCGCAAGCCUGAUCCAGCCAUGCCGCGUGAGUGACGAAGGCCUUAGGGUUGUAAAGCUCUUUUGGCGGGGACGAUAAUGACGGUACCCGCAGAAUAAGCCCCGGCUAACUUCGUGCCAGCAGCCGCGGUAAUACGAAGGGGGCUAGCGUUGUUCGGAAUUACUGGGCGUAAAGCGCACGUAGGCGGAUUUGUUAGUCAGGGGUGAAAUCCCGGGGCUCAACCUCGGAACUGCCUUUGAUACUGCAAGUCUCGAGUCCGGAAGAGGUGAGUGGAAUUCCUAGUGUAGAGGUGAAAUUCGUAGAUAUUAGGAAGAACACCAGUGGCGAAGGCGGCUCACUGGUCCGGUACUGACGCUGAGGUUCGAAAGCGUGGGGAGCAAACAGGAUUAGAUACCCUGGUAGUCCACGCCGUAAACGAUGGGUGCUAGCCGUCGGCAAGCUUGCUUGUCGGUGGCGCAGCUAACGCAUUAAGCAUCCCGCCUGGGGAGUACGGCCGCAAGGUUAAAACUCAAAUGAAUUGACGGAA
rnacentral:rRNA from 1 species